CUGCCAUCUCUGUUCCUGAAAACCUCCCGGCCAGCUUCCAUCCCCACUGCUGGCUAGCGGACUGUGAGACCAGACUCAGCUCCCCUGGAUAUACUCUCAUCUUUACAA